UGCCACAAACCCGUAGAUCCGAACUUGUGGCGACUGGCCACACAAGCUCGCGUCUACAGGUGUGUGUCUU
rfam:Scleropages formosus scaffold876, whole genome shotgun sequence.